UCCGUUAUGGUGUAGUGGCUAACAUUAUCGCCUCUCAUAAUAAGACACGAUAGCCCAGGGUUCGAUUCCCUGUAAUGGAA